GACGAACGCUGGCGGCGUGCUUAACACAUGCAAGUCGAACGGAAAGGCCCUGCUUUUGUGGGGUGCUCGAGUGGCGAACGGGUGAGUAACACGUGAGUAACCUGCCCUUGACGUUGGGAUAACUUCAAGAAACUGGGGCUAAUACCGGAUAGGAGCUCCUGCUGCAUGGGGGGGGUUGGAAAGUUUCGGCGGUUGGGGAUGGACUCGCGGCUUAUCAGCUUGUUGGUGGGGUAGUGGCUUACCAAGGCUUUGACGGGUAGCCGGCCUGAGAGGGUGACCGGCAACAUUGGGACUGAGAUAGGGCCCAGACUCCUACGGGAGGCAGCAGUGAGGAAUAUUGAACAAUGGGCGGAAGCCUGAGGCAGCAACGCCGCGUGCGGGAUGCCGGCUUUCGGGUUGUAAACCGCUUUCGCCUGUGACGAAGCGUGAGUGACGGUAAUGGGUAAAGAAGCACCGGCUAACUACGUG
rnacentral:rRNA from 1 species